GGUAUGCGGCAUCCGAAUAUCUUGAUUCCGACCCACCCAUCAAAAAAUGGAUCCGUAUAUAAUAGAUCUUUUGUUCAUAAUAUACACAAAAAAAUGUUCUGAAACCCUAAAUCUUCAUCUCUUUCACCGCCGCUUCAUUCUUCUCCCUGCUGUUCCAAAAUCAAACCGAUUCACUUGCAGAGGAAGAUGGUGACGGUGGUGGUCACCUGAAGAGGGAAGACGACAAGACAUGGGUUGAUUUAGGGUUUCUCCAUUGGUGUUCUUGUGAUGGUUGUGGUUCUAGGCAAUGGCGAAAGGACGGCGGCUAGGGUUCCACCAACACAUAAAUCUGACCGAUUUUGGUUUCGGCAGGUACCGAUGCAGUCUUUUCAAGUGCAGUUUGUAUGUCUCGCAACGCCAGUUAUCCUGUUCGACUUGGAUUUAGACACUUGCGGUUAAACAUAAUAUUUGAACCUUAACAAUCUUUCCUACAGAAAAUUUCCUGUGUUAUAACUGUCGACUUGGUGAUGCUGAGGUCGUAUUACUCAGAAUUCUGGAAGUGAAGCUGGCACCCGUGGAAAAUCUGAAUGGACGCAAGAAAGUCGAAGCAGGGGACCUUUUUGAAAGAAGAAAUGGUUUGGAGGCGUUGAAAGCAGGAGACUUUUCUUUUACCAAACAUCCGACGGUUGAUUUUGUGGCAUUCGAUUGUUGUUAGAGGACAGAGUUUGUGAUUUUAGACUCCAGUGAUGACUACCAGCGGCGGUCGGCCAUUGCUGCUGUUAAUUCGCAUUUUCGUCUAUUCGAGUGUUGCGGUUUAAAGGACCGUGCGUUGUCUUCUAAUCAGAUAUUAGUUUGUUAAGCUUAGUUGUUUUUGUUAAAAAGACAACGAAAGAUUUCACCUUGAGAUAUUAACUUUUUUGUCAUGACAAGUUUGAUUUACAUUCCAAUGUAAAGGCGGUUAUAGAAGCUUGUGUACUCUUUGUAUCAGAUCCAAGUAUUACUCAGAAUUCUGGAAGUGAAGGUGGUACCCGUGGAAAAUCUGAAUGGACGCAAGAAAGUCGAAGCAGGAGACCAUUUUGAAAGAAGAAAUGGUCUUGCAGGUAGCGGAGUUGAUCUCAACUGGUAUUGGAGUAUAGACUUGGGAAAAAAGAGAAGAGGGAGAAAAACACGAUGACCAGAGACAAAAAGGCAGUGGUGAAGUCGCUGGGAUGGUAGCAGUGGUAGUGUUAAAGUUUCGUCGUUUUGAUAUGGCGAUAGUGGCCAGGGAUCAGGUUGCGAUUUUGACUUAUUGGGGGAUUUCAAGAUCUUAAAUUACCGGAAAGGAUGGUACUAAGUAAGUGGGUGUGGAACUGUUUUAGGUUAAUAGGUUAACAGAUUAUUUUGAGAUGUGUGUUUUGUUUUUCAGUCUUCAAUCAUUCAAAUCUGCAAUCAAAUUGAGGUUAGUAUAUACCAUGCUUUAUUUAUUGGAGUUCAAUUCACUGGAGUUUUUUUUUACUUUGGCAACAUUAGUCCGGGUCAACUCUUGUAGAUUAACCUAUGUUAAAAUGAUUCUUGGGGGUAACGAUUAUAACAUUUUGGAAAUAAACAGGACAUGGAAAAAUUAUUGCACUCGUGUGAUAAUACUACAUACACUUAAAUAGGAUAUAUUAACUCAAUAUAGCCAAGAAAAGUUCAUGAAAAAUUUAUAACUCUUCUUAUAGUGAAGACAUUAAUAUAUCAUGUUUUUUUGUAUGAUCUUAAGUGUGUAUUAAUUAAUAAUAAUAAUUAACCUAAACAACUUAUAUCAUGAAUUAGUUAUUGUCAUUCAAUGGUAUACAAUCUUUUCGUUCAGUUUACCAUUCUACCCUUUCUUUGUUCAUAACAAUAUCACCUCUAGCUCUAUUCUGAAUCGAUUAUUGUGUUGCAGGAAAUUUGUUACCGAUAUCUUAAGCUUGAAAAUACACUGUUGGAAGCGCAACUCCUCGUGUUAAAAAUACUUAAAAUAUGUGAUUUUGGUAUUCAAAGGUCUGCUUGAUACGUGACGGAAAUGAGAUUUUUGAUGACGAGCGUAUGAAUUUAUUAGAAGAAGCAAAGAAGCUGGCCAUAUCCGGCGGAUUGGACAGAGUUGUUCUUGAAGCCAAUGGUAUAUUCAGAAACCCUACAUCAGUAAGAGAAAUAAAAAGAAUCAAAUCUUUCCCUCCUUAUUUAUGGCAAAUUAAACAGUGUCCCCGAAGCGAUACACGCUCAAUAUCUUAUGGGCGUAAUCGUCGAUUUAGUACAAGAAAUCACAAAUGCAGUUGCGUGUUUCAAAAACCAAGAUGAAGGAGCGGAGGUGAAAGAGAACCAUGGUUUCCACCACUUCGAUUUCAUCUUAAAGCGAUGGAUGUAGAAGACAGCUGUGUUAUUACUCAUG